GAUGAACGCUGGCGGCGUGCCUAAUACAUGCAAGUCGAGCGGUAAGGUUCUCACAGUUUGCUGGCAUUCUUUUUAAUAAGAUCGAGCAAAGUGUGAGAAUACACGAGCGGCGGACGGCUGAGUAACGCGUAGGAACGUACCCAAAGUGAGGGAUAAGCACCGGAAACGGUGUCUAAUACCGCAUAUGAUCUUCGGAUUAAAGACUAUUUUGUCGCUUUGGGAGCCGGCCUGCGUAUGAUUUAGUUAGUUGGUGAGGUAAUGGCUCACCAAGACGACGAUCAUUAGCUGGUCUGAGAGGAUGAUCAGCCAGAC
rnacentral:rRNA from 1 species